UAGUCGCCGCGGUAAUACGAGGGGUGCAAGCGUUAUUCGGAUUGAUUGGGUGUAAAGGGUGUGCAGACGGCUUAUUAAGUCACUUGUUAAAUUCUUCGGCCUAACUGAAGGUCUGCAAGUGAUACUGAUGAGCUAGAGGGUGGAAGAGAGAAGUGGAAUUCUCGGAGUAGCGGUAAAAUGCGUAGAUCUCGAGAGGAACACCAAUGGCGAAGGCAGCUUCUUGGUCCAUUCCUGACGUUCAUACACGAAAGCGUGGGGAGCAAACAGGAUUAGAUACCCCCGUAGUCCCUGUCUCUUAUAC
rnacentral:rRNA from 1 species